CCUACGGGAGGCAGCAGUGGGGAAUUUUCCGCAAUGGGCGAAAGCCUGACGGAGCAAUACCGCGUGAGGGAAGAAAGCCUACUGGGUUGUAAACCUCUUUUUUCAGGGAGGAAAAAAAUGACGUGUACCUGAAGAAUAAGCAUCGGCUAACUCCGUGCCAGCAGCCGCGGUAAGACGGAGGAUGCAAGUGUUAUCCGGAAUUACUGGGCGUAAAGCGUCUGUAGGUGGUUUAAUAAGUCAACUGUUAAAUCUUGAGGCUUAACUUCAAAACAGCAGUCGA
rnacentral:rRNA from 1 species